UCUUGUCUAGUAAUGACAGUGUGAUUCCUUCCUUUAAAAAAAAUGUUUCUCAAAAUUAAGUAUAUGUGCUAAACACUUCCAGUGUUCUAUAAAUCUCAAUUAUCUGGCCAGAAAACUUUGUUUUAAAGCAGCAGUGUCUCCAUUUCCUGACAGACCCCACAGAAAUACCCAACAUCUGUAACACCUGUAAAAUCCCACAUCCGUCUGAUGAUGGCAGGAGGAAAUCCAGUCUAGAAGGACAAUACUCCACACCUGAGAUAAUAUGAAGGCAGGCUCAUGCAGUGUAAAAAGACCAACAUCAUUCCUGUUUAAGA